rnacentral:lncRNA from 1 species
AUGGAUCCUCAGAUACUUUACAGCCUCUUGCUUUCCCCAUCUUACCCCUCUCUGCUUCUCUCACUUCCCCAGUGGAGUCCAAAGGUCACCAUCGUUGCUGUGGCAGCCAUCUCAAACAGUGCUGCAGUCUCUCCCUCAUCCUCUUUCCGUGAUGAUUUCACCCGUUCUCUGUCCCCAGAAUGUAAAGUAUUUGGGUUACCAAAGGAGGAGAUGAACCAUUCCAUAGUAUACAGCAGCAACGUAUACAACGUUGGAAAGUUUGCAGAGAAAAUUCCCAGGACAUUUUCUGGCAAUACGCAGGCUUGGAUACAUCAUUCUGGGGAAAAAGUUCUCCAACCCAAGAUGGAAAAGCUAAUGUAUUAGUUAAGGCACUCCCUGGAUUAACAAGCUUCAAAUUCUGGGCAAGUGCCCUAACUUGUGGCUUACUAUUUUGGUGAGUGGGAAUGUCGGUCUGUCUCUUACAUGAGCGGUAUGGUAUUUUGUGCCUUUAUUCCAGCUCUGUAAAACUCUUCGUACUUUUUUAACGUAGAGUUUAUUUAUGCAAAAGAACAGUGCAAUUGACUUCUACAGGUUUUAAAACACCUUAGAUAUUCCUAUAUCUUCUUCCAUGUGCGAAGCGUAUUUCUCUGGCCAAGCUUUCUUUAACAUAGACAGAGAGACAGAGAAGACAUUUGUGAAAAGACCCUGUUCUAGUGUGACGUGGCACUGUGUCCUUCAUGAGGACAGUGUAGUGUUUAUUUAGAAGGAGAUGAGGCUACACAAUAUAUACACAGUUCCAAAGACUGAUAAAUAGUAAUAUGGUUCAUUUUGUUCAGUUCACUGGCUGUUUAACUUUUAUCCUAUGUAUCCUCAUAUAACCCCUGGUAUGGCAUGGAUUCCAGUAUAACCACAGUUGAAAGUCAUUUAGUUGUUAUGUGAUCCAAAACACAUAUAGUGUUCCAAGGAACUUCCUAUGAUGUCUUCACACAUUUAGAGGCAGUCCUUGGAUUUGAAGAGAAGAACUUAUUUAUCCAUGACUCUGCUACUAUAUCGUGAGUCUCCAAAUAUUCCUUUGUCAGGAAAAAGCUUUUAGCUUUUUAAUAACAUCUCAUGGAAGUAUCUAUUCACCAACUUUAAAAAAAAUUGCAUGUGAGACUUGCUGAUCACUGUAAUUUAUUGAAAUGAGUCUGAUGUUUUUUCUUCUCACAUUUCAGUGUUUUAAUCCUGACUUGCUUGUUAAUUCUCCUAUUUCUUCAUGUCACGUAAAAAAACAUCUUUCAGUACUUCACUGUCUUGUUUUUUAAUUUAUAUUCCAGAGAGCUGAUGGAUGCCCAUGAUUUUCACUGUGGGGUGGUACACAAAUGUUACACUGCAGGAUACAUUUAUCAGCUUGAAUUUUAGGACAGAAAACACUGAAACUGCAUGAACCUGCGUAAUAAUUUAAUUGUCUUCAGUACCUUAAAUUCUGAUGAACACGCUCCUCUUUCUUUCUGCAGGUGUUCAUAGAUUUUUCAAGCAGAAGUAGUGAAUUACAAAUAUAAGUGGACUCUGCAAGUGAAUAGAGUCUACAUCUACGAUACACUGAGCCAAAAUUUUCAAAAAUGGUCUGGCAGUACCCUGGACCUGAGCAACACAAUUUUGGAUAUCUGAUUUAGGCAGGAGCUGAUUUGCCCUCUAAUUCCCACUGAAAUCAAGAGGAUUUCAAUCUGAAAUUUGAAGAUGGUUGACUAGUUCAUUGCACACAUUGCAAUAAUAAAAGCCACACAUGCCACA